rnacentral:rRNA from 1 species
AGGGAAUCUUCCGCAAUGGACGAAAGUCUGACGGAGCAACGCCGCGUGAACGAAGAAGGCCUUCGGGUCGUAAAGUUCUGUUGUUAGGGAAGAACAAGUACGAUAGUAACUGAUCGUACCUUGACGGUACCUAACCAGAAAGCCACGGCUAACUACGUGCCAGCAGCCGCGGUAAUACGUAGGUGGCAAGCGUUGUCCGGAAUUAUUGGGCGUAAAGCGCGCGCAGGUGGUUCCUUAAGUCUGAUGUGUAAGCCCACGGCUCAACCGUGGAAGGUCAUUGGAAACUGGGGAACUUGGGUGCAGAAGAGGAAAGUGGAAUUCCAAGUGUAGCGGUGAAAUGCGUAGAUAUUUGGAGGAACACCAGUGGCGAAGGCGACUUUCUGGUCUGUAACUGACACUGAGGCGCGAAAGCGUGGGGAGCAAAC